rnacentral:lncRNA from 1 species
CACCCACGGCUCGGAGGGCGGGGCGCCGGGCUUCGGGGCGCGGCGGUCCAGGGAGCAGGGACUGGCUGGGGCUGGUGGAGCGGGGCCGCCGCGACGUCCCUGCCUGGCUCGGGACCCCACCCUUCCCAGCCCAGCCCUGGCCGGCACCCUGGCCCAGCACGGACGUCACAUGCCAGUGUCCUCAGGAGACAGACGUCCAGGACACUGCAGCUGGAGAUGUAGCUGGGGAGCGGGAAGCCCGUGGGACAGGGUGGGAGAAGGUGACUGUGAUUCCAAGGACACUCGAGGCCCAUCGCGCCUUCAGGGCCCAGGGGCUGUGGUGCCAACUCCCACCCCAGCCAGCCCUGCGUAUGGAGAUCACCCGGCCGGUCCUUGGGGUGAAGAUGGACGCCGGGACUGCUGCCCUGAGCCGUAACCCAAAACAGGAUGCAGAGGGAGGUCAGCCUGAGAAAGAAACUGCAAGAUCCAAGAACACUGACUAAAUCCUAGAUGCAUAGCAGAGGAAAAAGAGCCCCUCAGUCUUUUCACUCCCUUAAAAGCAAGGCCUCAGGUAUCAUGUCAGUAUUUAUAAGGCAGACAUUGGAAAUAAAACUUUACAUUAAAAGAAUUAUUUAGCAUAUGAAAUCAUUUGAUAGGCAUUUUUCAUAAGAAUCUCUCAUCUGCUUAUAUUUGACUUGGUUUUGGGGGGGAAGUUUACAUAGUUAUGUCCUGUCCCCUUCUUGACUUGGCUUAUGUGGGGCUUGGCGCUCCCCCCGGUGGGGGGCUCUUAUCACCAUGCAGCCCAGAGCACAGUGGUGCAGCUCAGACUCCUGCUGGCAAGGAAAAUCAAGUAAGUUGUAAAAGACUCCUAGGUCCCAAAACACUGAGUGACCUUCGGGCUCCCUCAGAACACGGAACUCUUGCUGCAUCCUUGAGUUUGUGUCUCAGCCGACGCAAAGCGUGGACAUUGCUGUUCAGUUUACCUUGCAGAGGGAAUGUGUCUGUCCACAGAAGAGCAGAAGCUCAUCCCUGAGGUCAGAGACCUGUGGUGUUCCAGCCAGAGAAGAGGCAACAGGAGAUGUAGUCCUAUCCUAUAGGGACCUUUCCUUCCCUAUAAAGCCCUUUGCACCACACGGUUUGCAAGAUGGAGCUGUGAGCAUGAUCGCCCCUCCACCCUCUCAGCGCUGACCCUUGAAUAAACCUCAUUUCCUUCCCACCAAUUCAGUUGCAAAAUGUUUCACCAUUGUUGCUCAUUGAUGGAUUAUCCUUUAUGAUAUCUGCACUUACAGCCCUAGCUUUCUCACAAAUUAUAGGCUCAGAUAGGCUAUGACCUGCCACCUGCCUCUCGUUUAUCCACACUAGUAAGCACCUUUCUAUCUCAUUUAGCACUGUUGAUUGUGACUUACUAAUUUGGGUAACACCUUUGUACAAUCUUUUCUCUGUCAGAUUGCUGAGAUGCUGGACCCCCACAUGCUGUACAUAUUCGUGAGAUUGGUCACACGAACACCACUCCCAUGUCUCUGUAAUUUCUUUCUCCUUUUAAAUUGUGAUUGCUUUUUUUACCUUCCUUUCCUUAGUUUCUGUUCUAGCUUUUGGGGGCCAUUUUGAUAGCAGGAAUCAUAGCGAUUAUAUAAAGCACUGACCAAAAUCCCAUCCACAAACAUGCGCAUCUGGGCUCAGACUGACACUUAGGUAUGC